GGGCCCGCACAAGUAGUGGAGCAUGUGGUUUAAUUCGAAGAUACGCGCAGAACCUUACCAACACUUGACAUGUUCGUCGCGACUUUAAGAGAUUAAAGUUUUCGGUUCGGCCGGACGAAACACAGGUGCUGCAUGGCUGUCGUCAGCUCGUGUCGUGAGAUGUUGGGUUAAGUCCCGCAACGAGCGCAACCCUCACUUUUAGUUGCCAUCAUUUAGUUGGGCACUCUGAAAGAACUGCCAGUGAUAAGCUGGAGGAAGGUGGGGAUGACGUCAAGUCCUCAUGGCCCUUACGUGUUGGGCUACACACGUGCUACAAUGGCCGGUACAGAGAGCAGCCACUACGCGAGUAGGAGCGAAUCUUCAAAACCGAUCUCAGUUCGGAUCGCAGUCUGCAACUCGACUGCGUGAAGCUGGAAUC
rnacentral:rRNA from 1 species